GGGAAGGGAGAGGGAGGGGAAAAGUAAAAAAAAAAAAAAAGCCAAAGGAUUGUGAAAAACAUAAGGAAUAGCAGAGGACAAUAAAUUUCCCUGAGCUGUGUUUGGACGUGUGAAGAUCCUGAAAAAUGGCUAAGUCUCCAGUCACUGUGCUGCUAUGCUGCUGUUUCUUUGUACUUGUUGCUGUCUGGGCACAACAAACUGAAUUGCAUACAUUUUUGGCUGAAAUCUUGUAUUGAUGACAGGAGAGUCGAACCACUCCAUAAAGUCUUCUCCAUCACAUCCCAAAGACUUUCAACAGAGAAAUAAAGAACAUUGAGGACCCUACUUUGCCAUCAGUCUUCCACAAGUCUAUGUGAUCAACAAGGAAAUCUGUGUGAGGACCAUGUGUCAACAAGACAAGCUCCUAAUGGCCGAACUCUGUAGAGAGAAAUCUGGGUGGCCGAAACACCAAAAGAGGUCAAACAGGAGACGCUGUCGCCAUGUCAACCCAAAAACUUGGGCAAACAGGGCCUAAUGCGAGAUGGACGAAAAGCGCAGCGUUUGGGAGAGAGAGAGAAAAGGAGAGAGUGCUUUGUUCAAACAAAUAUUACGAUAAAUCUGAUUUACCAAUCUCAAACUGUAACCUUGUUCUGUUCCUAAAUAUAAGCUGUGGUCCAGUGACUUAUCACAAUCAUUACUGUUCAUAAUACACACAUUAUGUCACUUUUUUUAAAUAUAUAAUUGUAAUACUUGUGCUUGGAAUUGAAAUAAGCUUGGAUGAAUGCCUAAGUAUUUUUAAAGAAUGUAUUUUAAUAGGAUCUUAAUUUCAUCACACAGGGGAUGACAAUGCACAGUUCUGCUGAUGAAUGUUAAAGUAGCUAACUGUAUAACCACUAUGUCUUUUAUAUCCUCUUAGUAUAUACGGUAUGUCCACAUCAGCCACUGUAAGUAAAAUAUGAA